GCUAAUUGAAAUUAUAAUAGGAAUACGAAUACAAUGCUAACCAAUAUUUCUCAUCCGCGAGCAACACGAUUUGCAAGCAACCACCCCUAAAUGGAUAUUUUUAGCAUUAAAAGCACACUACAUUUAGUACAAAACCAGCAACAAUAAGUCAAAUACUACAUUUCCACUUCCAUGUUUAACGAGUUAUCAAGAACCCUUAUUGUUAACUGAAAAUGCAAAAACAUAAUAAUCAUAAGGCCUAUUCUAAAGAUCCUUGUCAAUAAAAUCUGCCUAGUACCGACCUACUAAUAUGAAGUCAUCAUCAUCAAGAACCUCAACGUCUUUUUCUCCCACAAAAUUCUCCCGCCCGAUUGACUUUACCAAAUUCACAAAUUCUACCCUCUUUGGCAGAGGAAGAGGUACAUAUGGUAGCCUGAAAACUGGUCUCACAACUCCAAGCUGUGCAAGAGCAGUGUUCAAUGCAAUGGGGUUUGGCUCCUGGAAAAGCCAAUCUAUGAGAGGCAUUAGUUUUGAAUUAAGUGCAGGAUCCUUCCCCUCAAACAUAAGUUUUCUCAUUAAGCCUGGGACUAAGUUGCUAGUAACAGAAAUCACUCCAGUAGCCCCAUGGUUCCACCUUGCAUCAUGGCAUUGAUCAUCAUUCCCACUCCACACCACAAUUCCUUUCUCCGUGUACUGUUCCACCCUAUCAUUACCCACACAUUCCUUAACACCUGCCAAGUUAGGACUCUGGGCCACACUGUGUAUCACACGCGGGGGAAUAUCUUGGCCAGUUCGUGAAGGCACAUUGUAAAUAAUAGUUGGACCCAUAGGUAGCACACUAUCGAAGUGAGAAACCAGGCCCUCCACAGAGGUUUUACCAUAGUAUGGAUUGAUGUGAAGAGCAGCAUGCAUUCCGACUGCAAAGCCUUGCUCUGUGGCAUGAAUUGCUUCCCUUGUAGAGUUGCUUCCAGUGUUUCCGAUCACCUUGAUAGAACCACCAAAACAGUUAACUGUAUGGCCAAUGAGCAUUAUGUGUUCAUCCCAGCUCAUCAACUGACCUUCACCAGUCGUGCCGCCAACAAUCACACCUUCAGCACCAUUAACAAUUUGCAUAUUGACCGAGGCAUCAUAUGCUUCAAGAUCAAAUCUACCAUCAGGUAAAUAUGGGGUUUUGAUGGCUGUUAUCAAUCUAAGCGAUUUUAUAUCCUCAGGUGAUGUCCUAUUUUUAACUUCAAAACUUCGCAUUGGGAGAUGGAAAUUGGGUAUUAUAGCAGCUUGAGGAGACCUCCAUUUUGCACUCCUCCUGUUCCAAAAAAACAAAGAUAAAUAAAGGAAGCACCUUCAGAGAAGAAAUAGACAAAAUAAAAUAUUGGCAAAGACAGAUAUCUCGACUACUAUUGCAGAAGGAAGGCUACAAGAGCUUCAAAACAAACUGAUCAAUUAAAAAUAAAAACAGAUUCAACCUCUUGUAGCAUCUGGUGGAAACAGGAAGGGGAAGCUGGCAAGCAGAAUCCCUCAAGCACACACUACUGCCACUCAAAGCAGCCAUCUCUUAUUUUAUCUCUUCCUCUUCUGAAACAAAGAAUAAUACCCAAGAAAAAUUUCUAGAACUAGAGCGAAAAGGUUAAAGAUUGCGACUUUUUUAGUGAAUCGUAACGGUGAUAAUGGUGAAAAUUGUAGAGAUAAACGCUGUGGAGAUAGUUUGCAAGAAGCAGUGGAGGUUGACGGCGGAACUAGAGCUUUGGUCAUCGGAGUACAUGACGUUAGUUUUCCGAUCAAUAGACGGCACUGGCGGCUGCUAUGACGAUGUAUUGCUCUCCCCUUAUAAUCGAAACAG
rnacentral:misc_RNA from 1 species